rnacentral:rRNA from 1 species
ACGAAGCAGGGGGGCGGAAUCUCUCCGGAGGGGAAGCCCCCCUGACUGAGUGGCGGACGGGUGAGUAACGCGUGGACAACCUACCCCGCACUGGGGGACAACAGCCAGAAACGGCUGCUAAUACCGCAUAUGCGCACGGCCCCGCAUGGGGCCGCGCGGAAAGCGCAUGCGGUGCGGGAUGGGUCCGCGUCUGAUUAGCUUGUUGGCGGGGUAACGGCCCACCAAGGCGACGAUCAGUAGCCGGCCUGAGAGGGUGGACGGCCACAUUGGGACUGAGACACGGCCCAGACUCCUACGGGAGGCAGCAGUGGGGGAUAUUGCACAAUGGGGGCAACCCUGAUGCAGCGACGCCGCGUGAGCGAUGGAGUACUUCGGUAUGUAAAGCUCUGUCAGCAGGGAAGAGAAUGACGGUACCUGACCAAGAAGCCCCGGCUAAAUACGUGCCAACAGCCGCGGUAAUACGUAUGGGGCAAGCGUUAUCCGGAUUUACUGGGUGUAAAGGGAGCGUAGGCGGCUGCGCAAGCCUGAUGUGAAAGCCCGGGGCCCAACCCCGGGACUGCCUUCCACCCGCCCCGCUCGAGUGCCGGAGGGGCCCCCCGAAUUCCUAGUGUAGCGGUGAAAUGC